UCCCGGGUCGUCUAAUGGAAGGACAGGGGCUUUUGGUGCCUCUAAUGGGGGUUCGAAUCCUCCCCCGGGAG
rnacentral:tRNA from 1 species